rnacentral:rRNA from 1 species
GACGUAGGGCGCGAGCGUUGUCCGGAUUUAUUGGGCGUAAAGAGCUCGUAGGCGGCUCGUUGCGUCAACCGUGAAAACCCGGGGCUUAACUUCGGGCUUGCGGUUGAUACGGGCGGGCUGGAGUUCGGUAGGGGAGACUGGAAUUCCUGGUGUAGCGGUGAAAUGCGUAGAUAUCGAGAGGAACACCUGAGGUGAAGACGGGUUGCUGGGCCGACACUGACGCUGAGUGCGCGAAAGCCAGGGGAGCAAACGGG